GGUGGCUUAGUGGUAGAGUGCUUGCCUUGCAUGCAAGAGGCCCUGGGUUUGAUUCCUCAGCACCA
rfam:Dipodomys ordii contig_29079, whole genome shotgun sequence.